UACGGAGGGUGCGAGCGUUGUCCGGAAUUAUUGGGCGUAAAGAGCUCGUAGGCGGCCCUCUUUGUCGCGUGUGAAAGCCCCGGGCUCAACCUGGGAACGGCGCGCGAAACGGGGGGGCUGGAGUUCGGGGGAGGAGCGUGGAAUUCCCAGUGUAGAGGUGAAAUUCGUAGAUAUUGGGAAGAACACCGGUGGCGAAGGCGGCGCUCUGGACCGAGACUGACGCUGAGGCGCGAAGGCGUGGGGAGCAAACAGG
rnacentral:rRNA from 1 species